ensembl:snoRNA SNORA70 Small nucleolar RNA SNORA70
CUGCAGCUAAUUAAGCUGAUCAGCUCCCUUUCUUCAGGGGGCCUGGUAUGUAGUAGCUACAAGCCUGGUCUCCUUGGUAGUGUAUACAACCUAUUGUUUGUAUGGGUUGCCCUAAGGGACCUUGGAGACAGCC